CACUACAAGGCCGAGGGGCUUGUAAUGCACGUCUCUCCUAGGCCUGAUGUUUCCAUAUAAGGCCGACGAUGCUGAUCGGUAUAAGGACCAAUGAUACUACUCUGUAUAGGGGAACAAAUAUUAUACAUUGGCUUUUUGUUUAGUCAUACAGUCAGAUGAUGCUUAUUGCCUUGCUUUCGGACGAUGCUUGUGGAUGUAUACGAUAAAGGGCGACAUCGUGCUACAAGG
rnacentral:misc_RNA from 1 species